rnacentral:snRNA from 1 species
AUUGCUUCUCAGCUUUUUCGUUAAGAUCAAGUAUAGUAUUUGUUCUUAUCAGUUUAAUAUCUGAUACAUCCUCUCUCCCAGGACGAUAUAUUAAAAGGAUUUUUGGAGCAGGGAGAUGGAACAGGAGCUUGCUCCAUCCAGUCCAAGCAUGGACCUGGGAUUGCAGUACUUCAGGAAUAGCGCACCCCUC